AUUGAACGCUGGCGGCAUGCCUUACACAUGCAAGUCGAACGGCAGCGGGGGAGAAGCUUGCUUUUCCUGCCGGCGAGUGGCGAACGGGUGAGUAAUACGUCGGAACGUGCCCUGUAGUGGGGGAUAACUAGUCGAAAGAUUAGCUAAUACCGCAUACGACCUGAGGGUGAAAGUGGGGGACCGCAAGGCCUCAUGCUAUAGGAGCGGCCGAUGUCUGAUUAGCUAGUUGGUGGGGUGAAGGCCUACCAAGGCGACGAUCAGUAGCUGGUCUGAGAGGACGAUCAGCCACACGGGGACUGAGACACGGCCCAGACUCCUACGGGAGGCAGCAGUGGGGAAUUUUGGACAAUGGGCGAAAGCCUGAUCCAGCAAUGCCGCGUGUGUGAAGAAGGCCUUCGGGUUGUAAAGCACUUUUGUCCGGAAAGAAAUGGCUCUGGUUAAUACCUGGGGUCGAUGACGGUACCGGAAGAAUAAGGACCGGCUAACUACGUGCCAGCCGCCGCAGUAA
rnacentral:rRNA from 1 species